GCGCGUGUGGUUUAGUGGUAUAAUUGCCGCCUGCCACGCGGCAGACCCGGGUUCAAUUCCCGGCGCGCGCA